UGGGCUUUAUAAGGGCCAGGCCCUGCCCCCUACAGGCAGCUGGCUCCCCUUAGUUGCUCCGGCAACCCACAGCUGUGCUCACUUGGUUCUGCCAGGGCUCUCUCCCUGGCAGUUUCUCCUCUCUUAGGAGCAGGCACCAGGGUGCCCUGCGACAAAAGGAAAAAAAAAUCUCUACUUACCUUAGAAGCAGGGGCUGGGGGUGCUCCAGGGCCUCCUGGCAGAGCCUCCCCUGGGCAGCACAGGGCAGUGGGGAGCAGGAGGGCCCAGGCUGGGGCCCUGGGGCUGUCCCCCUGUCCCAUGCUGUGCAGGCAGGGCCCCAGUAAGCCAGAUGGCAGCUACGACUGCUGUCUGGAGAGGGGAGCCACCAUAUGCUCUAUACCCUGAGCCAGAGCUGGAGCCAGAGCUGCCACAUCAGCUGAAGAAAGGUCAUCUUCACAUUGCUGCAGAAUCUUUUGGGAAGACAUCCAGCUUUCUCCUUGACUUCCUAUUGGAGCUACACAUUGUCCUCCCUUGACAUCUGUCCCUUUGGCCAUCAGCACCUUUCUGGUUCUGAGCAGGUCACAGGUGCAAUUCCAAGGGUUUCCAUCUAGAUACAGGUGCCUGAGACGAGGCAAAUACUCCAAGACUUUGCAAUCCAAGGAAGAUAUCUUGUUGUUACGUAGAUUUAAAACCUGAAGUUGUUUCAAGUCCUUCAGCUCUUGUUCUCCAACAUCCCGUAUGUCAUUUCCUUUCAGAUCCAACCUGGCUAGAGUAUCUGGAAGUCUGAACAAAAAUGAAACAAACUGAACAUUUGCUAUACUGAUUCUGCCAGUGCCAUUGAAAAUGAAGGCACUGGGAUGCCAUACUGAGGAGGAGACAUGGCCCUAAAAUAUUUCUAUGCAUGAUUGUGGACAUAUGUCUAAAUUAUUACUCACAUGAUUUUUUGAAAGCUGUUGGCCCAACAUCUGUGUAUAGCGGACUUGUUUCCCCCAAAUUAUUACAUCCCUGAAUAGGCUCUUUUUUUGAGGGGAAAGUAUUGCAUUCAAAGUGGGCUUUAAUUAACGUGAAAGUAAAUUUCAUGGAGUCCCAUGUAAUAGUCAUAACCAAGACCAACUUAUAGCAGUGCCAAAGACAACAUAUGUACAGAAGGCUGAGGAUAUACCCGCUAAGGCUUUCUUUGCAUAAAUGUGGUUGACAUUUUGUGCAGUAACGUGCAUUUUUUUCUUUUUGUUUCUUUAUUUUGUCAGCAUCAGAUUCAGAAAUUAUGCACAACAGGUCAAAAGAACCUGAAAAGGAAGUGCUCAUAUCUUUGUUAAAUAUUUCUGACUGAUCUUAAAAAGAUGUCAUCAGGGACAAAAAACAAAUUAUUCCUACACAGCUUUGUUGAAAAAAACCCAACAAUUUAGAACUGAGUAAAUAUGAAAAUGAAAAUCUGAUGUAUUUUUCACCAUGUAUUUUGUCAUCUUUUUAUUUUGCAUUCAGCCAUUUUGGCCACAAAAUGAGGCUUGUUGUUUUAAUUACUUUUGUAUUUCAGAAGCCUUACUCAUUCAUUUAUAAUCUUCUACUUUUAUUCCAUACUAGUACAUGAAAACUGUUAGCUAGAGAAGUGUACUAAUUUGGCAUAAAAGACAAUUUUUAAUUAAAUCAAUUUGAAAUUAAUCCCAAUUAUGAUGCACAAGGUGCUAAAGUUAGGAGUGCCAGUCUGAAAUGUAAAGGACUCUGGUUGCACAUAAUUCUCAAAGUCAUCAUAAAGAAGGUUAACAAGAAUUACUUAGAACUAAACUGUGACUCUGCACUAGCACCCAUUACUGACGUGAUAGCUUAUUUUACUGUAAUUCUUUGAUAUAUCACUAAAAAUAAAUGAUGAAAAUAGCCCAUGG